AGAGCCUGAUGUGAAGAAGGCAAGAUCAGAGCCCCAGCGGGAGCUUUUGGAAGCAAAAGUGAUUUUCGAGAGAAAAGAUAUCUAGGAAGAAGUGUGGAGGGCAUGCUCACCAUGCAAAAUUGUUAAAGAGGGGGAGUGUUCCACAAGUGAACUUUGAGCAGUGGACGAUGGAAGGGCAGAUUGAAGGAAGACUUGAACCUAGAAGGAUACAAGCUGGAGUGGCAAGAGACAACUCUACAGCCUUGAGGGGAGAGCCUAUCACAGAAUAUGGACAACAUGGUGGAGUGCACAAUUAAUAGAGUGAGAAACUGGGUCUUCAUGAUAUCCUCUGAGUCCUAUGUCUGAGGCUAGCCUCAUCACUAGAUUUUCAGCUUUAUGAGCAAUAGACAGAUUCUUUUUCAGUAAGCCUGUCCGGAUGAUCAAAAGCCAGACAAGACCUUCAAGCAAAUUCCCUUUUACCAUUUGCAAUGUAAAACACUCCUUGGUUCCCCGUGAACCCUCCCGUUUCAUGAAUGGAAACACAGCUCUUAUCUUGAUGUAUGUGUAGCUGGUGCCUCUUCAGUUCUGACAACAAGAAAAGUGAGCCAGGGAACAUAAUGGAGCCCUGAAAAAUUGCUGUCCUCAUACCACUGAAAUUUCUCCUUUCAAGCCAAAUCCACCCAAGGGUCAUGUUUGAGAAAUGAAGCCCAGAAGAGAUAUCUGUGAAGCUGACAGUCUGCAAAAUAUUUUUCUUUCCUUUCAAUAGCCAGUGAUUGCCAAGUCAUUGGCCAGUCUCGAACAAUUUUCUGGGUAAAGUGACAGUUAUUGGAAGGGGAAGACACUCUCUUUUGCCCUUCAGAAGUUUCUAACCAGAAAAGGGCAAAAACAAUUAGAAAAAUAAAUGAAGUACAAGAGCUACAGAGUCUGGGGAUCUCUGGACUCACAUUCAGUGGCUGCAGCUUCCCAGGCCAGGUCCCAUUCUUAAAGUGUGUGAUAAACAGAAAAAAAGGUAUGAUUCUGAGUCUGAGGUUCUCCACCUACUUUGAGGUUCUUCAAUCAUCACCGUUUUUCUGGAUGAGAAGAGUGAAUCCUGGAGAGAUUAAGACUUUUGCUGAAAUCAAGGCUGGAAAACAGCGGGGUCAGGAUCUGAACCACCACAGCCUGAGUCCAGCACACCUGCACCUGACCACUUCAUUGUGCCCCUCUGGCAAACUAAAGUCCAUUGUUCCCAGUUGGGAAGUGUAGUUACUCUUUUU